UACGUAGGGGGCUAGCGUUGUCCGGAUUUAUUGGGCGUAAAGAGCUCGUAGGCGGUCUGUCGCGUCUGCUGUGAAAACUCAGGGCUUAACCCUGAGCUUGCAGUGGGUACGGGCAGACUAGAGUGCGGUAGGGGAGACUGGAAUUCCUGGUGUAGCGGUGAAAUGCGCAGAUAUCAGGAGGAACACCGGUGGCGAAGGCGGGUCUCUGGGCCGUAACUGACGCUGAGGAGCGAAAGCAUGGGGGAGCGAACAGG
rnacentral:rRNA from 1 species